UUAAGUUCAGCGGGUAGUCCUACUCGAUUUGAGGUCAAGUUGUCAGAAAUUGUCCGAAGACGGUUUGAAGCACAGAGCUCCCGAUCAGCCACCCUCUUUGCAGAGGCGCCGGCGAAGACACUUAUCACGCCGUACUAUGUCCAACCAAGAGUUGCACUAACUCAUUUGAGGUGAGCCACAAGUAAAGCAGCAACACCCAA
rnacentral:misc_RNA from 1 species